rnacentral:lncRNA from 1 species
UGCCAGCUGCAUGAGAAAAGGGACUCACCUUCUGGUUCCCUGCCUGGAAGAGGAAGAGCUGGCAUUGCACAGGAGACGGCUGGACAUGUCUGAGGCACUGCCCUGCCCGGGCAAGGAGACCCCCACCCCAGGCUGCAGGCUGGGGGCCCUGUAUUGGGCCUGUGUCCACAAUGAUCCCACCCAGCUCCAAGCCAUACUGGAUGGUGGGGUCUCCCCAGAGGAGGCCACCCAGGUGGACAGCAAUGGGAGG